AUUGAACGCUGGCGGCAUGCUUUACACAUGCAAGUCGAACGGCAGCACGGACUUCGGUCUGGUGGCGAGUGGCGAACGGGUGAGUAAUACAUCGGAACGUACCCAGUAAUGGGGGAUAACUAUCCGAAAGGAUAGCUAAUACCGCAUACGCCCUACGGGGGAAAGAGGGGGAUCGCAAGACCUCUUGUUAUUGGAGCGGCCGAUGGCUGAUUAGCUAGUUGGUGGGGUAAAGGCCUACCAAGGCAACGAUCAGUAGCGGGUCUUAGAGGACGAUCCGCCACACUGGAACUGAGACCCGGUCCAGACUCCUACGGGAGGCAGCAGUGGGGAAUCUUGGACAAUGGGCGCAAGCCUGAUCCAGCAAUGCCGCGUGCGUGAAGAAGGCCUUCGGGUUGUAAAGCGCUUUUGUCAGGGAGCAAAUCCUUGUGGCUAAUACCCACCGGGGAUGAGAGUACCUGAAGAAUAAGGACCGGCUAACUACGUGCCAGCCGCCGCCGUAAUAC
rnacentral:rRNA from 1 species